UCAUCUUUGUGAUUUGCAGCU
rnacentral:miRNA from 1 species